UACGUAUGGGGCGAGCGUUGUUCAGAAUUAUUGGGUGUAAAGGGCGUCUAGGCGGGAGAUUAAGUUAGAUGUGAAAGGCGUGGGCUUAACCCACGAAUUGCAUCUAAAACUGGUUUUCUUGAGUUCGGGAGAGGAGAGCGGAAUUCUUGGUGUAGCGGUGAAAUGCGUAGAUAUCAAGAAGAACACCAGUGGCGAAGGCGGCUCUCUGGCCUAGAACUGACGCUGAAGCGCGAAAGCGUGGGUAGCGAACGGGAUUAGAUACCCGUGUAGUCCCUGA
rnacentral:rRNA from 1 species